UAGAGACAGAGGUGUAAAUGGCUCACCGAGCAGCAUUGGGUUUGGGGACUCCUGUGACCUUCAUUUCCAUUCCUGGCUUGAAGCAUAUGUUUUUCAGCUCUGCAUUCUGUUUAAAACAGGAGGAAAAAAUUAGGAAAAUUCAUGGUCAUAACAUAACACAUUUUUCUUGUGAUUAUGUGCUGUGAAGACGUGCAAAUUUAUGUGCAUUCCACACACUGACUCUUUCAUCCUUUUAGGCAAUAAGACAUUAGAAAGUCAACAAUCAAACAGUUUAAACAGCAGGGAGGCAGAACUGUGUAAGGAAUCUCCUGCAUGUUAGACAGAGCUGGGGCUAGCAACACACUGAGAUACAGGGACUGAUUAACUAUCAAACAAUUAACUGAAUAACCUCUCCCUUAACUGCAUCUACUGUGUAAAUAUUCUCCCUCUUUAUUUGACAUUAAGAUUGUUGCAAUGAUAAGAUAGACUUGGAUUUACCGAAAACAAACUAAUUACUCAUCAGUUGCAGAAUUUGCAGUGUCUAUUUUUCAGCUUUUCGAAAAAUCGGAAAUCCUCCACACUUACGCUCAUCUUGGCGGUUCAGCUGCUGAUUCUUCACUGGUGUGCGGCUCUGAAUUCAAUGCAGUGUGUAAAAUAAAUUCCACAACCUGCAAACAUGCUGGAGACCUGACUGAAAAAUGAAAGGGCACAAGCCCACCCAGGCCAGCAACACACGAAGGGCCCAUGGACUCCCUGGAGCUGGAUCCCCAGGGCAACACCAAGUCCACCCCAGGAAAGACCUUACUGGGCAGUCAGGAGGGGAGACCAGAGGGGUGGAGAAAAUCAGGUGAGCAGCUGCCUAAAUUACCUGCAUACUGUCGUGGAAUAGUUAAUUUUUUUCAGAGGCAUUGCUGACAAUAAGUGAGUAAUUUACUUGACAAACCUAAACAUUAAUAUUACCAUGUGAUGGACUAUCACUUCCUUAAAGACAUGCAGUAUUUAGCAUAAACAAAAAAGACAAACAGUUUUCUUUUCUUCAUUUUACAUCAGCAGCCCAUUGACGUUGUCCUUCUCCAGGAGGAUAGAGUACCUUUCAUGGAUGAAGGCUUGGGGCAUGGAGGAGCAGCGGUUAGCACUGUUGCCUCAUUUCUGUGUGGAGUUUGCAUGUUCUCCCCAUGUCCUCUGCUUGCCUUCUGUUUCCUCCCACGGUCCAAAGACACGCAGGUUAGGGUAACUGAAGAGUCUAAAUAAAGCGUGUGUGUGUGAAUGGUGUAUGUGCCCUGCGAUGGUCUGGUGACCUGUCCACGGUGUAUGCAUGCUGGGAUUGGCUCCAGCAUCAUCCCCCAACCCCGUGACCCUGGGUGAGAUGAUGGAUUCGCUGGAUGGAUGAAGGCUGGAGGGGGGAAAGGAACAAGGAAGACUCAAAUUUACAAUCAAGUACAAUCGCAGUAACAGCAAAAUACUCCAAUGUGACAGGGGGACUGGUCAUUUGGUUCACAAGUAGUACAGGGUAAUUUUUCUGUUUUCUUUUUAUAGUUUAUGAAAGUCCAGAUCCUGAGCUGAUCCUGAAUAUCAAAUGAUGUCUCGUUCACAAAUAUUUGAAGAAGAUACGCUUUUCGUAAUGUUUGCACACCUUAAAACACUUUCCAGAGAAAAUGGCUCUCAAUGAUUUCAGUCCCGGAUCUAGACUGUUGUGAUUAGGGGGGCAGACAGAGAUUUUUUUUUUGGGGCGGGGGGGGGGGAACUUUUUCUCAAGGCUCAGUGUGUGCCAUACAGUGUACAGGUGUAUGUUGUGAUUAUUUUUUUUUUUAAACUGAAGAUCUGAUUCAGUUUUUUCGGUUUAAUGUCAUGCGCAUGCCUGGUUACUAAACAAACCCAGAGUACUGAAUGUGUCAAUUCCAUGAAAUGACUGAAAUUAAAACUGAGGCAGCUCUUCGUUAGGACUGUGUUUUCCUCGUCAAACAAAAAGGGCGACAAUACAGUUUUUUACAAUUGCUAACAAGCAUUUACCUAUACUUAAGAUACUUUUUCUAAACUCUUAACACAGCAACACACCUACAUCACACAAUUAGCCAAAUAGUUAAUUUUCUGCUCAAAACCACAUUUUGUUAAUUAAAUACCAACUGUACAUUUCAAAAUGCAAAACAACUUCCUAUACAUACACUAACUCUAUGAAAACACGGCAAACCCGACUCAAUAUCAAAUCAUUCUGUCAAAACACUAGCACAUUUUCUAUCCAAGAGGAACAUCUAGUCAAUCAUAGCACAACGACUUUCAAAAUACUAACAGUUGAUGGCAUUAAAAAACUGCAUUGCUUUUCAUGUUUCAGUUCUACCUGCAUACAAUAGACAAUAUGAAAUCCAUUGUUUUUUAUAAUUAAGUUUCCUUUUACUGUGAACCACUCUACAUUUUUUGGUUGAGUGUCAAAUGUGUGCAUUUUUGGCAACAUACUAUCUAUAAAAGUGAAUGAGUCAUCUUUACUUUGUAGAAUGUAGUAGAGAAAAAUAGUGAGUGACAGAAUUGCUGCAGUACAAGCAACAUGAAAUUGCUGCCAGUGAUCAACAAAAAAUCCAACAUACAUGGCCUUUCGUUCCAAAUGUGUAAAAAUAAAAUACACAAUAGCAGGAGCCAUUCAUUUAUGUUGGUUUAUAAUAAGAAACCCAAAAGGGUAUUAUGAAGUUUAUUUAUUCUGUUCUAUAUUUAAGUUGAAAUUAUAAUGGAAUUUAUCAUGUAUUUGUUAUUUAUUGUUUAGUGUGCAUUAAUUAUUUUAUGAGUGGGUCCCUCUAUAGGAUAAGGGGGAAUAAAUGAUAUUUAAGAUGGUGCGGUGAGGCGGGCCAGCGGGAGUAGACGGGUGCGAGCGGAAACGGUCAUUGACCGUGUUUUGCACAACCAAAGUGGACCUGUGGAAUCUGGAAAACUUUAAAUGGACUUUAAUUUUAAGUUUAUUAUUGCAGUUUUAUGUUCAUUUAUUUUGUAAAUAAAUUCAACAAGAACAACAGCAAUAA